AUUGAACGCUGGCGGCAGGCUUAACACAUGCAAGUCGAGCGGAGAUGAGGUGCUUGCACCUAAUCUUAGCGGCGGACGGGUGAGUAAUGCUUAGGAAUCUGCCUAUUAGUGGGGGACAACAUUCCGAAAGGAAUGCUAAUACCGCAUACGUCCUACGGGAGAAAGCAGGGGAUCUUCGGACCUUGCGCUAUAGAUGAGCCUAAGUCGGAUUAGCUAGUUGGUGGGGUAAAGGCCUACCAAGGCGACGAUCUGUAGCGGGUCUGAGAGGAUGAUCCGCCACACUGGGACUGAGACACGGCCCAGACUCCUACGGGAGGCAGCAGUGGGGAAUAUUGGACAAUGGGGGGAACCCUGAUCCAGCCAUGCCGCGUGUGUGAAGAAGGCCUUAUGGUUGUAAAGCACUUUAAGCGAGGAGGAGGCUACUGAGACUAAUACUCUUGGAUAGUGGACGUUACUCGCAGAAUAAGCACCGGCUAACUCUGUGCCAGCAGCCGCCGUAA
rnacentral:rRNA from 1 species